UACUGACUAUAAAGAUGUAAUCAUUUGUGCGAGAGGGUGUGUUUGGAGUGUAUAUAUACUGGUCUGGUCUCAUUUCACUCACUAAACAAAUAACCCUUGACCGAGGAACUUCUUCUGAUUUCAUCUAAGGAUUUAAAGAAUGGUUCAGGGUGUGAAGACACUGAUGCUUCUCUGCAUGCUCAUUGGAUGCUCACAGGCUUUCCCUUCCCUUGGUGCAGCUGAAGAUGCUGGCAGUACAGAAAGACGAGAUACUAUUUGGCAUGUCUUGGAUGUUACUCCACCAGUGUGCCGUGUGUUAAAUGAGAGUUUGUUUUGUCCUUUAUUUUGUGGAAAUGCAACUUGGCAAGUGAGUUAUAUCUUGUCAGAUGGCAGUGGCUCAGGAAUCGAUCAUCCUUCCUUCAUCACCACGGGAUCUGGUGAAAUUAAUAUUACACUUGAUAUAACUAAAGACGAAAAUGGAUACAAUGCAACCCUUGUCUCAUACAGUGGCUCCUGCUGCCUCAGAAAUGUGGAGAUUACGGUGACGGACAAGGCAGGAAACAAAGGGGAAUGUCCCUUUAAUAUGCAUUACCCUUUAACCACAGUCAUUCCAAUGACUACAUCCAGCUCCGUCACAACCAUCUCUGUUGGGUCAAGUUUAUUACUGUUGCCAUUAAAAUCUAUGCUGCUGUAAGAUAUACAGUACAGACACGCUUUUAAACUCCACAAAUUUCAAUUAAAUAAUGCAAUUGGUUACGUUGAUGACUUUCAUAUUUAUAUAAGUUUUUAUUGUGUAGCUAGAAAUAACACAGAUGUCUAACUACACA